UACGUAGGGUGCGAGCGUUAAUCGGAAUUACUGGGCGUAAAGAGUGCGUAGGCGGUUCGUUAUGUCUGCUGUGAAAGCCCCGGGCUUAACCCGGGAAUGGCAGUGGAAACUGGCGGGCUUGAGUGUGGCAGAGGGGGGUGGAAUUCCGUGUGUAGCAGUGAAAUGCGUAGAGAUGCGGAGGAACACCGAUGGCGAAGGCAGCCCCCUGGGCUAACACUGACGCUGAGAAGCGAAAGCAUGGGUAGCAAACAGG
rnacentral:rRNA from 1 species